AUGAGUGCUUCCACUGUUUUGACAAGGGGCAUCGCAAAGCAGAUUGUCCCGCUUAUUUAAAGAUGAUAAUGGCAAAGAAUGGGAUUCCGUUCGACAAGGACUACGCUAAGAAGCGAAAGACAAAUUAAAGUCGCGAAUGGAGUACAAGCAGAUGUGGAAGCUGUUGGCGAUGUCUCCCUCGAGCUAGUUAAUGGUUUCAUGCUUGUAUUAAAAGAUGUUUUAUUUGUUCCUUCGCUUCAAAGAAACUUGAUCAGUGUAUCACGCUUAGACACAGAUGGUUUUGGUUGUCAUUUUGCGAAUGGCAAAUGUGAACUAUGGUUUGAUAAUAAUUGUAUUGGU